AAUAAAUUAAGUUUCUUCCUCAAAAAGUUGGAAACAUCAGCAAAAGUAUAAAUUUGGGAGCCAGUUGGGUAUAUAUUAUGCAGUUUCCUAAGAUGUACUGAUCAUAUUUUGUUAGAAGUGCAGUAUUUUUCAGGGAGUAACUAUGCUAACUAUCCACUUUCUCUAAUGACAUCAUACUCCAGGAAGUGACAUCACUUUGGAGGCAAAACAGCACAAACGUAAGCAUGAGGGACCUACAUGUAUGAUGGAGUCUAUAAAGUUGCCCCACGUCUCCCCGUACAAGACGGCUGCAUGUGGCUGAAAGCUGAUACCAGAUUCCUGAGGUGAUUCUCAGCAGUCAAGGACGUCUGACCCACACACAUUUAUAGACAUUUUGUGCCUGUCAUGACCCGAACGAAAGGUCACAAGAGCACUGGAGCCGGA